rfam:Rattus norvegicus chromosome 3, whole genome shotgun sequence.
GGGGAUUUGGCUCAAUGGUAGAGCACUUGCCUAGCAAGCGCAAGGCCCUGGGUUCGGUCCCCAGCUCCG